AUUGAACGCUGGCGGCAUGCUUUACACAUGCAAGUCGAACGGCAGCGCGGGGCAACCUGGCGGCGAGUGGCGAACGGGUGAGUAAUACAUCGGAACGUACCCAGAAGUGGGGGAUAACGUAGCGAAAGUUACGCUAAUACCGCAUACGUUCUACGGAAGAAAGUGGGGGACCUUCGGGCCUCAUGCUUUUGGAGCGGCCGAUGUCUGAUUAGCUAGUUGGUGAGGUAAAGGCUCACCAAGGCGACGAGCAGUAGCUGGUCUGAGAGGACGACCAGCCACACUGGGACGGAGACACGGCCCAGACUCCUACGGGAGGCAGCAGUGGGGAAUUUUGGACAAUGGGCGCAAGCCUGAUCCAGCAAUGCCGCGUGAGUGAAGAAGGCCUUCGGGUUGUAAAGCUCUUUUGUCAGGGAAGAAACGGCCGAGGCUAAUACCUUUGGCUAAUGACGGUACCUGAAGAAUAAGCACCGGCUAACUACGUGCCAGCCGCCGCAGUAA
rnacentral:rRNA from 1 species